UAUGACAAAUCGACGAGGGCGGCUUCCACCGGGCACAGCGCAUUAUGGCAAGUUUUCGACAUCCGACAGCUUGAUCGUAUACGCCCAGUGAACGUUUCACAAACGUCAUGGUCCUCUUCCUGAAGACUAUACGCAAGGUCUGAAGGUUAUGUUUACCCUGCAGCGCAGUUCCUGUUAGCCACACACACGCUAAAACCACCAAGCCUUGUCGUACUCACGGUUGCAUGUCCUUGCCGCUGGCAGCAUCGGCGACUUGUUUAUCGUGUCCUAUACGUGUAUCAUCGAUUUCAUGGCGGUAGCCGCUGGGUGGACCGCUCUAUUAUUUGUUGUCUAUAUUUAUCACCGCUGCUUUCACGUCGUCCUUGAAGAAUGACAGCAAGCCUCACUAAGAAACAAGCGUCAUGCCGACAUUGCACUAUAUACGCCUUCGAGGCACGCCUGGAACGCAUCCUUCAUAGCCUUCAUUAAUUUUGCGCAAGUAACGUGGAAUGUGGGAACUGAAAGUAGGAUGUUUUGUUUUGCUUUUUAGUUGGAAGCUCGUGCGUGACUGCGAUGUCCUAAGUAAUAAUGGAUCUCGUCUGUCUAGCGGGGCGUCUUUAAAUGACUGUUAAUGAUUUCCAGGACUCUUUUGCUCCAUUUCGUGAAAUACGUAAUGAACGACGAAUGUACGCGUAUAUGCUCAUUAGGAAUGGUGAUAUAGUCAAUUAUGAUGGAAUGAUCUGAACUUAAUGCAAAGUUAUGAAAACGUUGUUUUGGGAAUAGGAGUGAGUAGAAUGUGGUAUAAAUACGUGUUCCGGCA